rnacentral:lncRNA from 1 species
AUGAAAUACGACUCGCGCCAGUUUUCGCAGAGGAGUUUUGCUGUGUGCGCGUGACACUUGAGCCACUUGCAACAGUGGGGAGUAAAUGCUCGAAUAAUUAACUUUUAGCUGGUGGAGCCAUAUUUUAAAGUAUCCUAAAGAAAAUUAGAUGUGUGGACUAUGUUGCUGAGACGGAAAAGGGUCAGGUUCCUGCAGCAGUUCUACAAAGAGAAUGAGUCUCAAAUUAUUCCUUUAAAAAUGGUGCCCAGCAGGCGAGUGAAGAGAACUUGUGGUGCUUGCUUACUGAAAACAAGUGGCCCUGCAGGUGGUCCUGGAUCACGUGGCUGCGGAGGACCCCGAGCUGCUGGAGCGCGUGUGUGAAAAUGACAAAUGCUACAUCAUCCUCUUCUUUGAUGUUGUGCACAACCUGCUGCCAAAUGCAGGGAGAAGGAGGUCAGAGCAGAGCUGUCUGGUCACCCUUCUUCAAGCUCCUCAUCCUCUGCACAAGUCAGCAGCGUGUUGACCACAAGUCUUGUGGGCCAGCUGUGCUUGCACAUGCAAGAUUCAAAGGUCAUCUUGUUUCCAGGGGCUGUGCACACAGGGACAUGUAAGCAAAUGCUCUUGUGUCCAAGUUCC